AAAUGCCUGAAUCUCCAGACAGGAGCUUGCUGCAGGGGUGAGGCUCUUAUGGAGAAACUCUGCUAGGGCAGUGCAGAAGGGAAAUGUGGGGUUGGAGCACCCACACAGAGUCCCUACUGAGGAACUGCCUAGUGGAGCUGUGAGAAGAGGGCUACCAUCCUCUAGACCCCAGAAUGGUAGAUCCACUGACAGCUUAUACCGUGUGCCUGGAAAAGCCACAGGCAUUCAACACCAUCCUGGGAAAGCAGCCAGGAGGGAGGCUGUACCCUGAAAAGCCACAGGGGUGGAGCUGCCCAUGACCGUGAGAACCCACCUCUUGCAUCAGAGUAACCUGGAUGUGAGACAUGGAGUCAAAUGAGAUUAUUUUGGAGCUUUAAGAUUUGACUGCCCUGCUGGAUUUUGGACUUGCAUGGGACCUGUAGCCCCUUUGUUUUGGCCAAUUUCUCUCAUUUGGAAUGGCUGUAUUUACCCAAGGACUGUACCCCCACUGUAUCUAGGAAACAACUAACUUGCUUUUGAUUUUACAUGCUCAUAGGCAGAAGGGACUUGCCUUGCCUUGGAUGAAACUUUGGACAGUGGACUUUGAGUUAAUGAUGAAAUGAGUUAAGAUUUUGGGGGACUGUUGGAAAGGCAUGACUAGUUUUGAAAUGUGAGGACAUGAGAUUUGGAAGGGGUCAGGGUGGAAUGAUAUGGUUUGGCUGUGUCCUCACCCAAAUCUCAUCUUUAAUUUCCAUGCAUUGUGGGAGGGACCCCAUGGGAGGUAAUUGAAUCAUUUGGGCAGUUCUUUCCUGUGCUGUUCCUGUGAUAGUCAAUAAGUCUCAUGCGAUCUGACUGUUUUAAAAAGAGGAGUUCCCCUGCACAAGCUCUCUUUUUGCCUGCUACCAUCCAUGUAAGAUGUGACUUGCUCUUUCUUGCCUUCCACCAUGAUUCUGAUGCCUCCGCAGCCACGUGGAAUGGAUAAGAAGAUAAGUUUUAGAGAAUAAAAUGGGAAGCCAUCAGAAAAGUAAAUGAAAGAAAAUCUUUUGAAUCAUUUGAAUACAUUUUUGAAGAAAAUAGAUGGAAUGCUAUAAAAAGGACAAGAUUUCUGAGCCAUUAUAUUCAGUAUAAUGUAGCACUAAUAUGUCAUUGAUGGAGAAGGAUAUGAAUUUAGCGUCUAUCUUCAUGUCAGCCGUAAAUGAUAAAACUGAAGAAAAACCGAGAGAAAAUAUACAUGAAAAAUCCAUUAACCAAAUGUAUUUUCUGAAGAUCUGGAUACCUGACAAUAUAAUCUGAAUAUUAAACAAUGGAAAAAUUUUAAAUUGCCAAAUGACAGAAAAGACUUCAAAAGCAUUAAUGAGUUCUUCCAAAUUCUUAAAAAUAUAAUAGAUUCUGGUUACUUCAUUGCAAACCAAAGUAUUUUAUAUAUUUUUAUAUUACAAAUUAGGUAGACAGAAAAUAUUCACCCGAAGACUGAGAAGGUGGAUAAUGUAUGAAAAACAUAGGCAGUAUUUAUUAAAUUUUCUUGGCAAACAUGAAGAGAGCAAAAAUAAUGCCAUUCUGCUCCAGAUACUUCCUUUUACAUUUCAAGAGCCUUGCCUGGCGGACUCAAAUCAGAAUUUUAUUGUCUGAACCGCCUGUAUGAGCUGUAACACUCACCGUGAAGGUCUGCAGCUUCACUCAUGAGGCCAGUGAGACCAUGAACCCACAGGGAGGAAUGAACAACUCCAGAUGCGCCACCUUAAGAGCUAUAACAUUCACCGCAAAGGUCUGCAGCUUCACUCCUGAAGCCAGCAAGACCAGGAACCCACCAGAAGGAAGAAACUCCAAACAAGUCCAAAUAUCAGAAGGAACAAACUCUGGACACACCAUCCUUAAGAACUGUAACACUCACUGCGAGUGUCCACGGCUUCAUUCUUGAAGUCAGUGAGACCAAGAACCCACCAAUUUUGGACACACUUAGAUUACUAAUCUUUCUUUUUGUUGUUUUUUGUUUUUUUUUUUGAGACGAAGUCUCGCUUCAUUGCCCAGGCUGGAGUACAAUGGCGCAAUCUCUGCUAACUGCAAGCUCCGUCUCCCGGGUUCAUGCCAUUCUCC
rnacentral:lncRNA from 1 species